rnacentral:rRNA from 1 species
GACGAACGCUGGCGGCGUGCCUAAUACAUGCAAGUCGAACGGUUUAGUUCCAAGAGGCUUGCCUUUUGGAACUAGACAGUGGCGGACGGGUGAGUAACACGUAGGCAACCUACCUGUCAAACCGGGAUAACCUCGGGAAACCGAAGCUAAACCCGGAUAAGCUCCUUUUUCGCAUGAAGGGGGAGUGAAAAGGUGCGACCUGAUGACAGAUGGGCCUGCGGCGCAUUAGCUAGUAGGUAGGGGAACGGCCUACCUAGGCGAUGAUGCGUAGCCGACCUGAGAGGGCGAACGGCCACACUGGGACUGAGAUACGGCCCAGACUCCUACGGGAGGCAGCAGUAGGGAAUCUUCGGCAAUGGGCGAAAGCCUGACCGAGCAACGCCGCGUGAGUGAGGAAGGCCUUCGGGUUGUAAAACUCUGUUGUGUGGGAAGAAGGGAAAGGGUAGGACCCUUUGGUGACGGUACCAAACGAGAAAGCCCCGGCUAACUACGUG